GACGAACGCUGGCGGCGUGCUUAACACAUGCAAGUCGAACGGAAAGGCCCUGCUUGCAGGGUACUCGAGUGGCGAACGGGUGAGUAACACGUGGGUGAUCUGCCCUGCACUUCGGGAUAAGCCUGGGAAACUGGGUCUAAUACCGGAUAGGAGCCAUUUUUAGUGUGAUGGUUGGAAAGUUUUUUCGGUGUAGGAUGAGCUCGCGGCCUAUCAGCUUGUUGGUGGGGUAAUGGCCUACCAAGGCGGCGACGGGUAGCCGGCCUGAGAGGGUGGACGGCCACAAUGGGACUGAGAGACGGACCAGACGCCUACGGGAGGCAGUAGUGGGGAAUAUUGCACAAUGGGCGCAAGCCUGAGGCAGCGACGCCGCGUGGGGGAUGACGGCCUUCGGGUUGUAAACUCCUUUCGCUAGAGACGAAGCUUUUGUGACGGUACCUAGAGAAGAAGCACCGGCUAACUACGUG
rnacentral:rRNA from 1 species